UUAGCAUUCAUUCACAUAUUAUAGUAACCAAUAACAGAGGAGGUUAGCAUUCAUUCACAUAUUAUAGCACCAAUAACAGGGGAGGUUAGCAUUCAUUCACAUAUUAUAGUAACCAAUAACAGGGGAGGUUAGCAUUCA